ACCAACUGGGAUUACCUUAGUAACGGCGAGUGAAGCGGUAAAAGCUCAAAUUUGAAAUCUGGUACUUUCAGUGCCCGAGUUGUAAUUUGUAGAAUUUGUCUUUGAUUAGGUCCUUGUCUAUGUUCCUUGGAACAGGACGUCAUAGAGGGUGAGAAUCCCGUUUGGCGAGGAUACCUUUUCUCUGUAAGACUUUUUCGAAGAGUCGAGUUGUUUGGGAAUGCAGCUCAAAGUGGGUGGUAAAUUCCAUCUAAAGCUAAAUAUUGGCGAGAGACCGAUAGCGAACAAGUACAGUGAUGGAAAGAUGAAAAGAACUUUGAAAAGAGAGUGAAAAAGUACGUGAAAUUGUUGAAAGGGAAGGGCAUUUGAUCAGACAUGGUGUUUUUUAAAUGUGCAAGUCUCUCGUGGACAUGUGCCUCUGGAAAUUAACACUGGGCCAACAUCAGUUCUGGCGGCAGGAUAAAUCAUUAAGAAUGUAGCUACCUCGGUAUGUUAUAGCUUUUGGAAUACUG
rnacentral:rRNA from 1 species